rnacentral:rRNA from 1 species
GAAUUAUCCGCAACGGGGCACCUGACGGGAGCAACGCCGCGUGGGGGAUGACGGCCUUUCGGGGCGGUAACCCUUUUUUUUUCGGGAGAGAUCUGACGGUACCGGAGGAAGAAGGACCGGCUAAUUACGUGCCAGCAGCAGCGGUAAUUACGUAGGGUCCGAGCGUUGUCCGGAGUUACUGGGCGUAAAGCGCGCGCAGGCGGCGGUGCUGGCCCGGCGUGAAAGCCCCCGGCUCAACCCGGGGAGGGUCGUCGGGGACCGCACCGCUUGAGGGCGGUAGGGGCUGGUGGAAUGCCUGGUGUAGUGGUGAAAUGCGUAGAGAUCAGGCGGAACACCCGUGGCGAAGGCGGCCAGUUGGGCCGUCCAUGACGCUGAGGCGCGAAGGCGUGGGGAGCGAACGGGAUUAGAUACCCCGGUAGUCCACGCAGUAAACGAUGCAGACUAGGCGUGGGGGGAGUUGACCCCCUCCGUGCCGGAGCCAACGCGGGAAGUCUGCCGCCUGGGGAGUACGGCCGCAAGGCUAAAACUCAAACGAAUUGACGGGGGCCCGCACAAGCGGCGGAGCGUGCGGUUUAAUUUGACGCGACGUGUAGAACCUUACCAAGGCUUGACAUGCGCCUGCAUCCUCUUGAAAGGGAGUGGCAUUCGAGGGUGGCGCACAGGUGCUGCAUGGCUGUCGUCAGCUCGUGCCGUGAGGUGUUGGGUUAAGUCCCGCAUCGAGCGCAACCCCUGUGGGUAGUUAGCUGAUUUACCCAGACUGCCGGUCGCAAACCGGAGGAAGGUGGGGAUGACGUCAAGUCAGCAUGGCCCCUAUGUCUUGGGCGACACGCACGUUACAAUGGCCGGGACACCGGGUAGCCAAGCCGCGAGGCGGAGCGAAUCCCCCAAACCCGGUCUCAGUUUGGAUCGUGGGCUGCAACCCGCCCACGCGAAGCUCGAGUCGCUAGUAACCGCGGGUCAGCACUACCGCCGUGAAUACGUUCCCGG